AUUGAACGCUGGCGGCAUGCUCUACACAUGCAAGUCGAACGGUAACAGGCCGCAAGGUGCUGACGAGUGGCGAACGGGUGAGUAAUGCAUCGGAACGUGCCCAGUCGUGGGGGAUAACGCAGCGAAAGCUGUGCUAAUACCGCAUACGAUCUAUGGAUGAAAGCGGGGGACCGUAAGGCCUCGCGCGAUUGGAGCGGCCGAUGUCAGAUUAGGUAGUUGGUGGGGUAAAGGCCUACCAAGCCGACGAUCUGUAGCUGGUCUGAGAGGACGACCAGCCACACUGGGACUGAGACACGGCCCAGACUCCUACGGGAGGCAGCAGUGGGGAAUUUUGGACAAUGGGCGCAAGCCUGAUCCAGCCAUGCCGCGUGCAGGAUGAAGGCCUUCGGGUUGUAAACUGCUUUUGUACGGAACGAAAAGGUUUGGCCUAAUACGCUGAACUCAUGACGGUACCGUAAGAAUAAGCACCGGCUAACUACGUGCCAGCCGCCGCUGUAACAC
rnacentral:rRNA from 1 species